rnacentral:misc_RNA from 1 species
ACCGCUUCAUACGUCAAGGUACCAGAACGAGAAACAAUCCCAAUACGUCCUGGUUUGUGGAUAUAUCCAGGCAUUAUUCCAAUUUUGCAUUCUCCGGGCUUGAUAAUGCCAGGACAGUUUGGUCCAAUCAAACGGGUCUUCGAUUGCUUGGUAAGAGCAGCCUUUACUCGAACCAUGUCAUGCUGCGGGAUUCCCUCAGUGAUACACACCACCAGAUCCAGCUCCGCCUCCAUCGCCUCCAUGAUCGCAGCCGCCGCAAACGGCGGCGGGACAUAAAUCACCGACGCAUUAGCCUUGGUCUCCGCCUUCGCCUCUGCGACCGAAUUAAACACAGGAAGCCCUAGGUGCUCCGUCCCGCCCUUCUUCG